rnacentral:lncRNA from 1 species
GGCAGGCCUGGCAUUCAGGCUGCUCUGGGCUGGUCGGGACUUCGGCAGCAACGCUAGGAACGGGGAGUGAAGUGGAACUGGAGAGACCUGGAGAGGACUUCCUGAUUUUUUUUUUUUUAACCUGGAGAUUUCGUUUUUCCCAGUUGUUUUUUAUCUUGUGAGUGACGUGUGAGUCUACUUCCUUACAGUGGUUUUCUGAAGUGACCGUUACACAUCAAGUCAUUAACACACUGGGCAGGGGCCAAUUUUCUUGGAAGGAAUUCUGGGUCCUAGUGCACCGUCCCUGUAGUCUUUUCCCUCUGAACUGCGCCCCACAUUACUGGCCUGUUCCCAUGUGAAAAGGCCCCUAGUGGGUGGCAACAGUCACAGCCUGGUGUCAGUUGUUGAUGACAUUCGAUGCUGUCUGAAGAAUGCCAGCUACUCGCAAUCAGCGUGUUGCUUCCUGUCCGCUUUAUUUUGCUUUUGAAUCAUCGCCCGAGACAGUUUGAUCUUUGGUUCAGAAGCGCUGCGGAGAGCAUGUGGUGUUUGGGCUGGAGCAGAGGGCACGGGAGGGAUUUCUCUUGCUCUUAUGCCUGGAAUUGCUGUCAGUUUCCAUCUGAGGAAAGGGGCUGCUUUCUGUCCUCUGUGGGCAAAGACUACUUGUGUGAGGGUGGCCAGCUUCAGUUUCCUUCAGCCAGAUCCUCUGACCAAGUGAGUCCACCAGGCUCCAGGGGUGCUGUGCCCUUUUGCUCAAGGAUCUGGGGAGGUUGCUGUGGAAUACUGCUGGGGCAGAAUCAGGUCAGUUGGUGAGAAGGGUCCAAGACUUUCUUUCCCUUUCAGUACAGUGUGCUUGCUUCAAUCCUAGCAUCGGCUACUGUGCACACAGGGAAAGGUUUUAGUUCCAUUCAAACAAAGAGGAUUUCUUUUCCAGAAUGACAUAGUAAAUAAGACAGGAGGGAAGGAAAGACUUCAGUCUGUCUGCCGGAAUCGGGUCUUCACUAGGGGAGCAGCAGAGGGGACAAGUCAGAAGGUCCCUCCUCCGUUGCUAGACGUUGAAUAAGGGUAUGAUUGGAGCCUUCAUUGCCUCUGACUGCAUAGGGGGAUGGUGGCAGUGAGUGAGGUUGGGUAGAGGCGUCUCUGCCUUAUCUUUCCUCAUCAUUUUUUUUCUCAAGAGUAUUUACCUGCAGGGCUGCUCAAGAGGGGUGGCCCUGUGCUCUCCGGAUGGCGUAUGCAGGGAACAUAGUAGCUCUGCAGAUAGAUCCUGCCCUCUCUGGAUGGAGUAUGCAGGGAACAUAGCUCUGCAGAUAGAUCCUGCCUUCUGUGUCUGAGCACAGAUGUGUGUUGGGUUCGCCUUUUGGAAUGCAGAAAACAUCGGUAGCAACUGGAUUGGGUUUGAUGUUUCUUGGCUGCCCUGCUUGUUUGAUAUCACUGGGGUCCCCAGGGAAAUCUUAUCAGAAGAACAGGACUCCUAGCCAGGUGGGUUAGGUAGCUGGGCUUCCGGUGUGCUUUAUAAAAAGCCUAGCAACAGAGGAGGGACCUCUUGGGUUUUCCUUUGCAUUUCUGGUUUGUGGUCAUAUCACUCAAUGAUUUACAUCUGCCCGAAGUGUCACUAGUCGUGACACUAGUUGACUUGAGGGCAGAAGUAUUCACCCUUUCUGACCCUGAUUUUCCUUCUCAGUUUUUGUCUCUGUCUGUCUGUCUGUCUGUCUCUCUCUCUCUCACACACACACACACACACACACAUCACCAGAGUCACUCCUUUGAGCCUUGUCUCCAGGCAUGAUGGCUUCCAGCAAGCCUUCUGGUGACUUCCAGGCUGACCUAGAUGAACCUCUUUCUUGUCACAUCCAUUUCCCCAUCUGAAUAAAGCAAGAGUCCAAAGGGGUGGCUGCAUCCGGAGGGAAUACACAAGACUGUCAUCUGUCCUAGUCAUCACUCUUCCCCCACCCAGAGAAGUUCCCAAGAAGGAAAGAGAGACAAUUGCCCCUAAAAGCUUACAUACAGAUAAACACCAUUACCACGGCUGUGGCUACGAACGCAGGGAAGGGGCCGAUGUUAUGAGGUCUGCCCUCUACUUGUUGGUUUUAGAACGGAAGAUAGUACUUGGUUUCACCAGAAAUGAAUCUCUCUGUUCUCCUUCCUCUUUCUCAUUCCGUCUACAUUUUGCUCAUUACAGCAGACAAAGCCACAUAAAAGCAUCUUAGUAAGAAUACUACUAGAGCAGCUCCAGUCUUGUCUUGAGGGAUCUGUUGCUUCUCCCUUUGAAAGUUGCCUGGUUAUUUAGAUGUGCUCUUCCAUGCACUUAGAAUCGUUAAGCAUCUUUGGUAACAAUUACUGCUUUGUUACAACCAUCUUCGGCCAUCACAUGGGACUGACCCACGCUUCCUUGAGGCUGCUGUAUUGAGGAAGUGUGUAGCCCAACUCUCUAGAGCCAGUGCUGGCCUGUGAUUGGGCGAAUAGCUGUGGCCAGAGCUCAUCUGCCCAGCAAUGCUAUUUUGGGCCUGAUGUUCCCUAGGGUUGCAAUAUAGCUUUACUUCCCAGUCGUGUUUUCCUUUCUCACAGUAUUUAUUAUUUGUUUUUUAAAAAGUGCUCCCUUGAUAAAAAUGUUUAGCGCAAGAGCUAAUUAUCAUCUGCCAAGUAAUAAAUAAAAAUUUAAAAUUC